rnacentral:rRNA from 1 species
GACGAACGCUGGCGGCGUGCUUAACACAUGCAAGUCGAGCGGUAAGGCCCUUUCGGGGGUACACGAGCGGCGAACGGGUGAGUAACACGUGGGUGACCUGCCCUCAGCUCUGGGAUAAGCCUGGGAAACCGGGUCUAAUACUGGAUAUGACUCCAUGACGCAUGUUGUGGGGUGGAAAGCCUUGUGCGGCUGAGGAUGGGCCCGCGGCCUAUCAGCUUGUUGGUGGGGUGANGGCCUACCAAGGCGACGACGGGUAGCCGGCCUGAGAGGGCGACCGGCCACACUGGGACUGAGACACGGCCCAGACUCCUACGGGAGGCAGCAGUGGGGAAUCUUGCGCAAUGGGCGAAAGCCUGACGCAGCGACGCCGCGUGAGGGAUGACGGCCUGGUUGUAACUACUU